AAUCAACGCUGGCGGCGUGCCUAACACAUGCAAGUCGAACGCGAAAGGGGAGCAAUCCCUGAGUAGAGUGGCCAAACGGGUGAGUAACACGUGGGUGACCUGCCUUCGAGUGGGGGAUAACGUCCCGAAAGGGACGCUAAUACCGCAUGACAUCCUGCUCUUGGAAGAGCGGAGGAUCAAAGCUGGGGAUCGCAAGACCUGGCGCUUGAAGAGGGGCCCGCGCCUGAUUAGCUAGUUGGUGGGGUAAUGGCCUACCAAGGCAACGAUCAGUAUCCGGCCUGAGAGGGCGGACGGACACACUGGGACUGAGACACGGCCCAGACUCCUACGGGAGGCAGCAGUGGGGAAUAUUGGACAAUGGGCGCAAGCCUGAUCCAGCAAUGCCGCGUGGGUGAAGAAGGUCUUCGGAUUGUAAAGCCC
rnacentral:rRNA from 1 species